AGCUUUGUGCAGUGGCAGUAUCGUAGCCAAUGAGGUUUAUCCGAGGCGCGAUUAUCGCUAACUGAAAACUCAUUUAGGUCCUUCUGCGAAAGCCAAGUACUUGAGGUACAUGUCAAUAUACA
ensembl:snRNA U4 U4 spliceosomal RNA